GAUCGACCGACCUGCUGGCUGGGUCAGAACAAUCACCACUGAUUGUAAAAAGUCACAAAGGUCAUGGUUUCAUGAUUUUGUGAACCCAGAACCCAGAGCCCAAGACUCAAGGAAAGGAGUCUUCUAACAAGACUGUGAAGAAAUAACAGUUUUGGCCAGAGGCUUUCUGAGCAAGAAUGAUAUAAAAUAAAACUUGAGGAAGAGAAAGAAAAACACUCUGGACUGGUGACCCUACAAGAAGCAGAAGAGACAGAGAAGAAAGGCCACAUGAAGAAGAAAGGCCUGCAAGCCAGGAAGAGAGGCCUCACUGGAAACCAACCCUGAUGGUAACUUGAUCUUGAACUUCCAGCUUCCAGAACUAUAAGAAAAUAAAUUUCUGUGCUUUAAGUCA